AGGAUGAACGCUGGCGGUGUGCCUAAUACAUGCAAGUCGAACGGACCUUUAUUUUUGAGAAUCUCCUCCCUCGGGGCGUCUCAUAAAUAAUGGUUAGUGGCGGACGGGUGAGUAACACGUUGGUACCUGCCCCGAAGUGGGGAAUAACUGCCCGAAAGGGUAGCUAAUACCGCAUAUUGCCGAAAGGUGAAAGCAGUAAUGCGCUUCGGGAGGGGCCUGCGUCCCAUUAGCUUGUUGGCGGGGUAAUAGCCCACCAAGGCUGCGAUGGGUAGCUGGAUCGAGAGGUUGACCAGCCACACUGGGACUGAGAUACGGCCCAGACUCCUACGGGAGGCAGCAGUAAGGAAUCUUCCACAAUGGACGAAAGUCUGAUGGAGCAACACCGCGUGCAGGAUGAAGGCUUUCGGGUCGUAAACUGCUUUUAUAGAUUGAAGAUUAUGACGGUAAUCUAUGAAUAAGGACCGGCUAACUACGUGCCAGCAGCCGCGGU
rnacentral:rRNA from 1 species